AUUGAACGCUGGCGGCAGGCCUAACACAUGCAAGUCGAACGCGUGGCGGACGGGUGAGUCAUGUCUGGGAAACUGCCUGAUGGAUGGGGAUAACUACUGGAAACGGUAGCUAAUCCCGCAUACCAUCGGCUGUGCCCAGAUGGGAUUAGCUAGUAGGUGGGGUAAAGGCCUACCAAGGCGACGAUCCGUAACUGGUCUGAGAGGAUGAUCAGUCACACUGGAACUGAGACACGGUCCAUACUCCUACGGGAGGCAGCAGUGGGGAAUAUUGGACAAUGGGCGAAAGCCUGAACCAGCCAUGCCGCGUGUGUGAAGAAGGUCUUCGGAUUGUAAAGCACUUUAAGUUGGGAGGCGGUACCAACAGAAUAAGCACCGGCGAACUUCGUGCCAGCAGCCGCGGUAAUUC
rnacentral:rRNA from 1 species